UACGGAGGGUGCAAGCGUUAUCCGGAUUUACUGGGUUUAAAGGGUGCGUAGGUGGGUCUGUAAGUCAGUGGUGAAAUCUCCGGGCUUAACCCGGAAACUGCCAUUGAUACUAUAGAUCUUGAAUAUCCUGGAGGUGAGCGGAAUAUGUCAUGUAGCGGUGAAAUGCUUAGAUAUGACAUAGAACACCAAUUGCGAAGGCAGCUCACUACGGGAUCAUUGACACUGAGGCACGAAAGCUAGGGGAGCAAACAGG
rnacentral:rRNA from 1 species